rnacentral:rRNA from 1 species
GGUCAAGCUACAAAGGGCUCAUG